GACGAACGCUGGCGGCGUGCUUAACACAUGCAAGUCGAACGGAAAGGCCCCUUUGGGGGUACUCGAGUGGCGAACGGGUGAGUAACACGUGAGUAACCUGCCCUUGACUUCGGGAUAACUUCAGGAAACUGGGGCUAAUACCGGAUAGGAAUCCUUGCUGCAUGGUGGGGGUUGGAAAGCUUCGGCGGUUUUGAAUGGACUCGCGGCUUAUCAGCUUGUUGGUGGGGUAGUGGCUUACCAAGGCUUUGACGGGUAGCCGGCCUGAGAGGGCGACCGGCCACAUUGGGACUGAGAUACGGCCCAGACUCCUACGGGAGGCAGCAGUGGGGAAUAUUGCACAAUGGGCGGAAGCCUGAUGCAGCAACGCCGCGUGCGGGAUGACGGCCUUCGGGUUGUAAACCGCUUUCAGCAGGGGCGAACCUUGUGGUGACGGUACCUGCAGAAGAAGCACCGGCUAACUACGUG
rnacentral:rRNA from 1 species